AGAGUUUGAUCAUGGCUCAGGACGAACGCUGGCGGCAUGCCUAACACAUGCAAGUCGAACGGAGACAGCAAUGUCUUAGUGGCGAACGGGUGAGUAACGCGUGAGCAACCUGCCUCGUACAACGGGAUACCUGCGAGAAAUUGCAGUUAAUACGGUAUAAGACCACGCCGUCGCAUGACGGAGGGGUAAAAGGGAGCAAUUCCGGUAUGAGAUGGGCUCGCGUCGCAUUAGCUAGUUGGUGGGGUAACGGCCUACCAAGGCGACGAUGCGUAGCCGACCUGAGAGGGUAAUCGGCCACAUUGGGACUGAGACACGGCCCAAACUCCUACGGGAGGCAGCAGUGGGGAAUAUUGCACAAUGGGGGAAACCCUGAUGCAGCAACGCCGCGUGAGCGAAGAAGUAUUUCGGUAUGUAAAGCUCUAUCAGCAGGGAAGAAAAUGACGGUACCUGAGUAAGAAGCCCCGGCUAACUACGUGCCAGCAGCCGCGGUAAUACGUAGGGGGCAAGCGUUAUCCGGAUUUACUGGGUGUAAAGGGAGCGUAGACGGCGAGGCAAGUCUGAUGUGAAAGGCCGGGGCUCAACCCCGGGACUGCAUUGGAAACUGUUUUGCUUGAGUGCCGGAGAGGUAAGCGGAAUUCCUAGUGUAGCGGUGAAAUGCGUAGAUAUUAGGAGGAACACCAGUGGCGAAGGCGGCUUACUGGACGGCAACUGACGUUGAGGCUCGAAAGCGUGGGGAGCAAACAGGAUUAGAUACCCUGGUAGUCCACGCGGUAAACGAUGAAUACUAGGUGUUGGGGAGCAAAGCUCUUCGGUGCCGGCGCAAACGCAUUAA
rnacentral:rRNA from 1 species